rnacentral:rRNA from 1 species
CCUACGGGGGGCUGCAGUGGGGGAUAUUGCACAAUGGAGGAAACUCUGAUGCAGCAACGCCGCGUGAGGGAAGAAGGUCUUCGGAUUGUAAACCUUAGUAGUCAGGGACGAAGAAAUGACGGUACCUGAAGAGUAAGCUCCGGCUAACUACGUGCCAGCAGCCGCGGUAAUACGUAGGGAGCGAGCGUUGUCCGGAAUUACUGGGUGUAAAGGGUGCGUAGGCGGGACUGCAAGUCAGGCGUGAAAUACCGGAGCUUAACUCCGGGGCUGCGCUU